rnacentral:tRNA from 1 species
GUUGUGGCUCAGUGGUAACGCGUAUGCCUAGCAUGUAUGAGGCACUGGGUUCGAUUCUCAGCACCACA